AACGAACGCUGGCGGCAGGCCUAACACAUGCAAGUCGAACGCCCCGCAAGGGGAGUGGCGCACGGGUGAGUAACGCGUGGGAAUAUGCCCUUCGGUUCGGAAUAACACAGGGAAACUUGUGCUAAUACCGGAUACGAUCUAAGGAUGAAAGAUUUAUCGACGAGGGAGUAGCCCGCGUAGGAUUAGCUAGUUGGUGAGGUAAUGGCUCACCAAGGCGACGAUCCUUAGCUGGUCUGAGAGGAUGAUCAGCCACACUGGGACUGAGACACGGCCCAGACUCCUACGGGAGGCAGCAGUGGGGAAUAUUGGACAAUGGGCGAAAGCCUGAUCCAGCCAUGCCGCGUGAGUGAUGAAGGCCUUAGGGUUGUAAAGCUCUUUCGCCAGGGAGGAUAAUGACGGUACCUGGAAAAGAAGCCUCGGCUAACUCCGUGCCAGCCGCCGCGGUAA
rnacentral:rRNA from 1 species